rnacentral:rRNA from 1 species
UGGGGAAUUUUGGACAAUGGGCGAAAGCCUGAUCCAGCAAUGCCGCGUGAGUGAAGAAGGCCUUCGGGUUGUAAAGCUCUUUUGUCAGGGAAGAAACGGUGAAAGCUAAUAUCUUUUGCUAAUGACGGUACCUGAAGAAUAAGCACCGGCUAACUACGUGCCAGCAGCCGCGGUAAUACGUAGGGUGCAAGCGUUAAUCGGAAUUACUGGGCGUAAAGCGUGCGCAGGCGGUUUUGUAAGUCUGAUGUGAAAUCCCCGGGCUCAACCUGGGAAUUGCAUUGGAGACUGCAAGGCUAGAAUCUGGCAGAGGGGGGUAGAAUUCCACGUGUAGCAGUGAAAUGCGUAGAUAUGUGGAGGAACACCGAUGGCGAAGGCAGCCCCCUGGGUCAAGAUUGACGCU